CCCCGAGCGCUCCCGGCCCUCCCGGGCGGGGCUGAGCCCCGGCGGCGGGGGCGGUUCGGGCUCGGGGGGGCUGCGGGGCCGGCGGCCCAGCCCGGGGGUUGUUCCCGGCUCUCCCGUGUGACGGGGGCAGAGGGGGCGGAGGGUGGAGGGUCCCCCCCCGGCAUUUCCCGUCCCUCCUGCCGGGAGGGCCGUGACGGGGCCGUGACGGGGCCGCGGUGUCGGUGCAUCGCUGCGUCACGGGCAGGGCCCUCGGCCCGGCAGAGCCGCGGGGUGUUCCCGAUCCCUGCUAAAAAACCCUCGGAGCGGUGAGUCCCCCCGGGCUGUGGGAAGCCCUGCAGGCGGCAGGGCCGCGGGGGCCCGUUCUCACACCGUCGCCGAACAGCUCUGGUGACACCCGGCAGCCGGGACGGAGCCGCAGCCCCUGCGAGGAGGGGGAACGGGACCGCCCAGCCAUCGCUCCUGUGCUGUGAGAUGAGUGAGGCCGGGACUCGUCUUUCGGUGCUGUCAGUGCCCACGAGCACCGUUAUCCUGCCCCACAAUUCCCCAGCCCCAGGCGGCAGCUCCCUCGGUGGUGACAGUCUGUGUAAUCCUUUGGAUUGCACCUAAAGCCUGCGGAGUGAACAGAGUCCGGUCGCACUGACCCGCCAGAGCUUUGGAGCAGGGAAUGCUUGUGGCCCAGCACAGUGACACCAUGUGAGGGGGUGACAGGGGCAGCUCCUGCCUGCAACCAGCUCAGGGUAAAAAAUAAAACAUUGGGUUCAACUGCAA